CAAGAGCUUAUGCUAAGAAGUUGUCAUUUGGAGCACAGAGAUAAAGAGUUGUGUGAAGGGGAAAAAACCACUCUGCCAAAGCAAGAAAACAUAAGACACUCUCUUUUGUACCUUGGAAGUUAUGGUGUGCAGGAACCAAACCACAUUAGCUUCCAUUGCUGAUCUUUUGCACUUGCAGAUUCAAGACACGGGCUUAUUUUACAGUUCCGGAAACCAUCCAAUGAAAUCCAUAUGACCUCGGCCAGAUCAUUCCAGCUCCAAGCAGUAGGGUAACUGAGAAAGGGCACUGCUGUCCACAUUUUAGCCAGCAUGUACUGAAGAUCAGGUCUUAAUCUGAGCCAAGGCUCGGGUCCAGAUCUUCUGUUCUCAAUACGCAGGAUUGCACAAAGAUUUAUUUUUGAGGAGUAAUAUUCUGCGUAACUGGGAAAGGGCUACAGUAUCAUCGGGCAUAACUGUUAAAGCAGAUUAAAACCUUGACUUCUCAUUUUACUGGCUUCAUCAGGGAAGGGGCUGGUACUUUCAAAUUGCUUUCCAUGCAUGAUAAAUUGCUCCUAAAGCAGCAACACGAUCUAAAGUUGCCAUCUCCAGCUAUUGACUUGUAUGCAUUCCCGAUUUCCAACUUGCAUUAGCUUUGACCCAGCGUGGCCAAUGGACAGGGAAGAUGGAAAUUGUAGUUCAAUUUCAGGCUGGAGAAGACUGAUAUACCAUAGCAAACUUCAGUUCGUGAAUCCCCUCUUUAAAUAAGGGCUUCGGGCAAUUUGGGUAUAAGGCAAGGAUGCAAACAUCUCGAGAUUGGGAUGUUAUUGAAAUGCUAUGCCCUCAGUUCUCCACAAUCGAAGGUCAGAGAGGGAGGAUUAAAAAGAAUGUUAUUUGGCUUAGGCGAAUUGCAUAGAAGAAAUGGAUGUUUGUCAAUGAAUUGAGGCUUUGCGUAUCAAGCAAUUCAGCUUCCUAACCAUCAUUUAAGGUAGGUCAGUAAUGUGAUUUCCCUCUUACAGAUGGGGAACCGAACUUGAUACUGUGUCAUGCUCAAGACCACACGAUGCACACUCAAAAUGUGCUUUGACCCCAAGGUCCUUCAACCCUAUGGUUGUAGCUGCUUGCCAACUGCAAUAUAUCACACCAGACAUUGCCUAUGGAGUUCUUUCUGACGAAGAAAGCAAGCAAGCCACAUUUUAAAAGCCACCAAAUCUGUAUGCGGUACUGAUGAGAGUCAUAAACAAGCAAUCUACUCCGCCAAAAGGAAAGUGAGUGAUGCCCAGGCUUUAGAAGAACAGAGAACACACGUGGGCGGAAGCAGCGGGAACUCUCUGGUGCUUUAUGGGAGAUGUUAGAGAUCUCAAUCUGCUUAAUGAAAAUGCAGGUUGAAAAUAAAUCACAGGAGGACAUCUUGCAAGGAAAUAUCACUAGUCGUAAAAACUCAUUGUGGAGUUCCAAGUAAACCAGCGACUGCAAGCCAAAACAUUAGAACACAUUUGAAAUAUAUGCACUUUUGGAAGACGUGUACGCUAAACAUCAUUGGUGUUUGCUGCCCUAGGGUCAUUGCUGCUCCAUUCAUAGCUUCCUGAAGUCCGUGUGAGUCUCCUUUGGCAAUAACCUGGAUAGGUAGCCUAUCUUUUGGCAACCUUGAGCCAGUCUCUUAACCUUCAGCCUAACCUAACUUGGACUGGGAGAACUCGAUCAGAGGAGCUCAGGCACUGGUGACUUAAAAGAUUGGAUUACUGCAAUGCACCUAUGUGGGGUUUUCCUUGCAUUGGCCCAGAAACUGGCUAGUACAGAACGCUAGAGCACAGCUGCUGGCAAGAGUGAGACCCUGUCAGCAUAGAACAUCCCUGCUCGGAGAUCUGCCCUGGUUGCUGAUCUGUUACCAGGCCAAAAACAAGGUGUUACUACUGGUAUACAGAGCCCUUAACGACUUGGUACCAGUUUACCUGCAGGGUUGCCUUCGUAUAUGCCCACUUUGCUCUGUGGAACUGUCGCUAUUACAGGUGCCACCUAGCACGCAUUCUGCCGUUGUCAAGAAACUGAUAAUUUAAUGUGGCAAUUAUGCUUUGGAACUUCCUUCCCAUCAACAUCAGACGGGCACCUUCAAUGGAUUAUUUUUGGAACCCGCUUAAAACAUUUGUGUUGAAGCAAGUCUAUCCAGACACGUAGAUGCUGGUGUGUUUUAAUCUUUUCUUAACUUUAAUUAUCUUUAAAUGUUUUGAUUAACUGCUUUUAUUGGUAAUUUUAAUAUCUAUUUGUGAGCUGCGUACAAGCGGCGUAGAGCAACAGACAAAAUUUGUUAAAUAAAAUAUAAACCUGAUAAGCCUGCUUAGUGUCUAAAAAUGGGAUAAGGGG
rnacentral:lncRNA from 1 species